rnacentral:misc_RNA from 1 species
GCAAUGCAAAAGUGUCGGAGCAUUCGGUACUUCUGUAUCAUCAGGAAACCGAACGGCCGGAGUAUUCAACGAGUACAUUGGUGAUUGAUUGUUACGCCGAACCGAGAGGAACAAGAAUUGCAUCACUACAGUGUUUCCUCAUCACCCAACGAAUUCAACUCAAGUAUGGUCGGAAAUACCUCAACCAAUGGAACCGAACCUGAAAAUGAGUUUAAAUUUCUGACUUCACCGCUGAUUGUUCUGAUGUCUUUCAUGUGCCUGUUAAUUGUUUUCGAAAAUGGUCUUAUAAUCUUUUUAAUGUGCAGAAAGAGGAUAUUGAGAACACUCACCAACAUGUUUCUUACUUCACUAGCACUUUCAGAUCUUACAUCGGGUCUAGUGAGAAUGCCUCUGUUCUUCAUUUGCUCUUUGGACACCCAUUCGCUCCAUGUCUGUGUGGCCUCCACCGUAUUUACUCGAUUGACAGCCAUCUCCUCAGUUUGUCAUGUCCUGCUCAUCGCUGCAGACCGCUAUGUCUUUAUUGUUCAUGAUAUGAAGUACCGUGUUUUUGUAACAAAGAGACGAGCAAUGGCUGCCACCCUUGCCGUGUGGCUGAUUUCAAUUCUAGCGUCUGUCGUUCAGUUGUCUUGGUAUAUUUUUCACGGAAUCGAGUUCAGCGAUCGACCCGCCUUUAUUUAUGAUCUAAACAAACAGUACGCCCUUGCGUGCAUCGUGCUGUUCUUUGCUGGUCCUUUUUUGUUAAUAUUUUACAUAUAUGGACGCAUUUUUUAUAUUUCCUAUGAACUCAACAAAAAUGACCGCAAGAGGAUCAAAACUUAUAAUUAUAAGCUGCCCACUGGAUCUUUGCGUCAUGAGUGGCGGGGUCGUAGCAUACUGUUGAUCACGAUGAUAAUUUUUGGCGGCUGUUGGCUGCCUUAUUUCUUCACGGUGUUACAUGAUCAUUCUAGUUCGUCAGAUGAUUCUACCAUACCAUUAUGGUCUCAGCGUCUGCAAACUUGCCUUGGUUUUUUACCAAUGAUGUUAAACCCGAUUUUGUGUACUUUGGCAAAGAAGGAUUUUCGUCACGCAUUCAAGGAGAUUGUAAUAGGUCGAAGAUCUUCGCGUCAUUUUAAUCAAGAUAUUUCUCUACAGACAACCCGCGAGAGAUUCAGAACUAUAGAUAGUGAAUCUGAACGAACCUGAAAGAAAUAAGAUCUGUGGGUUUUGCUCUCGGAGAAGUUUACUUAACUUUGACAGUUUUGAUCAGAAAACACUUACGAAAAUGACACUUGCAUCGUACGUUGAAAGGAAAGUGGCGCACAAAUAUCAAUUUACUUAUUUACACUACAAUAAUCAAGGGGCAAAAAAGCAUUUGCAAAUCCUUUUAAGUAUAUAUCACCAUCCUGUUGUGGAUCUCUGUCUUUGGAAUGUGAAUUUUUAGGCUGCCGAUUCUAACGAAACGAAGCAAAUUUAAACGAAAAUAUAUUUCAAUCGUCGGAAACAACGAAUUUCCAUUGUCAGCUAAAUACCAGACGUUUGGUAUUUCGUUCGAGGGAGUGACUGAUGCUUCCUGUUCAGAAUUUGGAGCUCCUCUUUGGAAAAGAUCAGAAACGAAUGAAUAAAAGACAAAUGAAUAAAGGGGAGAAACUCUUCAUUGAGCAAUCCUGGGAGUGAAAGAGCUACCCAUACAGCGUCGUUG